CACCUGUCAUCCUCCAGACACACGACGGAGCGUGUCUGAACCAAUCACUUUUGUUGACGUUGGCUGCAGCGAGGUGCAUUCAGGUGCAGUUUGGGAUUUUCAGCAGAGCAGGUGCAGCUUUUAUCUGGACGUGAUUUUCCACUGGUUAUGGAAACUGUUUCUGGAUUAGAGAUCAAACAUUUCAGUAUUUUUAUUUAUUUGUUUCUGUGCUUGAAUAUAAGAUACGUCUUCAUGUGAAAAAUGUCAGCACAUAAAGUAUUUUGUUCUCUUUAA